CUGGAAUAGAAUGGACUCGACUGGUACGGACUCCAAUGGAAUGGAAUCGAAUGGAAGGGAAUCGAACGGAAUGGACUCGAAGGGAAAAGACUGCAAUGGAAAGGAAUCGAAUGGAAGGGAAUGAAAUUGAAUCAACAGGAAUGGAAGGGAAUAGAAUAGACGGUAAUGGAAUGGACUCGGAUAGAAUGGACACGAAUGCUCAA
rnacentral:lncRNA from 1 species